rnacentral:rRNA from 1 species
AUUCCAGCUCCAGUAGCGUAUAUUAAAGUUGUUGCAGUUAAAAAGCUCGUAGUUGGAUUUCUGGUUUGACAUAACUGACCCGCUACUUUUUGUGGUGAGUGUCGGCCUUGUGUCUGCCAUCCUUCUAGAAAACGGUCUACCCUUCACUGGGCCGGACUCGCGAUCUAGAGCUUUUACUUUGAAGAAAUUAGAGUGUUCAAAGCAGGCUUGCGCUAUGAAUACAUUAGCAUGGAAUAAUAACUUAGGACUUCGGUUCUAUUUUGUUGGUUUCUAGAACUGAAGUAAUGAUUGAUAGGGAUAGUUGGGGGUGCUAGUAUUCAACGGCCAGAGGUGAAAUUCUUGGAUUCGUUGAAGACUUACUUAUGCGAAAGCAUUCACCAAGGAUGUCUUCAUUA